rnacentral:rRNA from 1 species
UACAGAGGUCCCGAGCGUUGUUCGGAUUCACUGGGCGUAAAGGGUGCGUAGGCGGGUCUUUAAGUCAGGGGUGAAAUCCUGGAGCUCAACUCCAGAACUGCCUUUGAUACUGAGGAUCUUGAGUUCGGGAGAGGUGAGUGGAACUGCGAGUGUAGAGGUGAAAUUCGUAGAUAUUCGCAAGAACACCAGUGGCGAAGGCGGCUCACUGGCCCGAUACUGACGCUGAGGCACGAAAGCGUGGGGAGCAAACAGG